AGUGAACGCUGGCGGUAGGCCUAACACAUGCAAGUCGAACGGCAGCACAGGAGAGCUUGCUCUCUGGGUGGCGAGUGGCGGACGGGUGAGGAAUGCAUCGGAAUCUACUCUUUCGUGGGGGAUAACGUAGGGAAACUUACGCUAAUACCGCAUACGACCUACGGGUGAAAGCCGGGGACCUUCGGGCCUGGCGCGAAAGAAUGAGCCGAUGCCCGAUUAGCUAGUUGGCGGGGUAAGAGCCCACCAAGGCGACGAUCGGUAGCUGGUCUGAGAGGAUGAUCAGCCACACUGGAACUGAGACACGGUCCAGACUCCUACGGGAGGCAGCAGUGGGGAAUAUUGGACAAUGGGCGCAAGCCUGAUCCAGCCAUACCGCGUGGGUGAAGAAGGCCUUCGGGUUGUAAAGCCCUUUUGUUGGGAAAGAAAAGCAGUCGGUUAAUACCCGAUUGUUCUGACGGUACCCAAAGAAUAAGC
rnacentral:rRNA from 1 species